GGGUCAUUGGUCUAGGGGUACGAUUUUCGCUUAGAAUGCUGGAAGUCCCGGGUCCAAAUCGCGGAUAAACCC